UCCGGUUGAUCCCGGCGGAGGCCACUGCUAUCGGAGUUCGAUUAAGCCAUGCGAGUCGAGAGGUGCAAGACCUCGGCAUACUGCUCAGUAACACGUGGACAACCUACCCUAUGGAGGGGGAUAACCCCGGGAAACUGGGGAUAAUACCCCAUAGAUUAUGGAUGCUGGAAUGCUCUGUAGUUGAAAGGUCCGCCGCCAUAGGAUGGGUCUGCGGCCGAUUAGGUUGUUGUUGGGGUAACGGCCCAACAAGCCUGUAAUCGGUACGGGUUGUGGGAGCAAGAGCCCGGAGAUGGAUUCUGAGACACGAAUCCAGGCCCUACGGGGCGCAGCAGGCGCGAAAACUUUACAAUGCGGGAAACCGUGAUAAGGGAACUCCGAGUGCCCGUUAAAUCGGGCUGUCCACCAGUUUAAAUAACUGGUGAAGAAAGGGCCGGGCAAGACCGGUGCCAGCCGCCGCGGUAAUACCGGCGGCUCGAGUGGUGGCCACUAUUACUGGGCUUAAAGCGUUCGUAGCUGGUCUGUUAAGUCUCUGGGGAAAUCUACCGGCUUAACCGGUAGGCGUCUCAGGGAUACUGGCAGACUAGGGACCGGGAGAGGUGAGGGGUACUCCAGGGGUAGGAGUGAAAUCCUGUAAUCCUUGGGGGACCACCUGUGGCGAAGGCGCCUCACCAGAACGGCUCCGACAGUGAGGGACGAAAGCUGGGGGAGCAAACCGGAUCAGAUACCCGGGUAGUCCCAGCUGUAAACGAUGCGCGUUAGGUGUAUCGGUGACCACGAGUCACCGAGGUGCCGAAGAGAAAUCGUGAAACGUGCCGCCUGGGAAGUACGGUCGCAAGGCUGAAACUUAAAGGAAUUGGCGGGGGAGCACCACAACGGGUGGAGCCUGCGGUUUAAUCGGACUCAACGCCGGGAAACUCACCGGACAAGACAGCUGAAUGAUAGUCGGGCUGAAGACUCUACUUGACUAGCUGAGAGGAGGUGCAUGGCCGUCGUCAGUUCGUACUGUGAAGCAUCCUGUUAAGUCAGGCAACGAGCGAGACCCA
rnacentral:rRNA from 1 species